AGGUUCGAUUCUGGCUCAGGAUGAACGCUGGCGGCGUGCUUAAUACAUGCAAGUCGAACGAAGAUAUUCGCUGAUGCGAUUCGUCAAAUCUUGAAAUAUCUUAGUGGCGGACUGGUGAGUAACGCGUGGGUAACCUGCCUUACACAGGGGGAUAACAGUUAGAAAUGACUGCUAAUACCGCAUAAGCGCACGGUAUCGCAUGAUACAGUGUGAAAAAGAUUUAUCGGGUGUAAGAUGGACCCGCGUCUGAUUAGCUAGUUGGUGAGGUAACGGCCCACCAAGGCGACGAUCAGUAGCCGGCCUGAGAGGGUGAACGGCCACAUUGGGACUGAGACACGGCCCAAACUCCUACGGGAGGCAGCAGUAGGGAAUAUUGGACAAUGGGGGCAACCCUGAUCCAAGCGACGCCGCGUGAGUGAAGAAGUAUUUCGGUACGUAAAGCUCUAUCAGCAGGGAAGAAAAUGACGGUACCUGACUAGGAAGCACCGGCUAAAUACGUGCCAGCCGCAGC
rnacentral:rRNA from 1 species